rnacentral:lncRNA from 1 species
UUUUUUUUCUGUUUUCUGGCCAUUGGUGGUGCUGAUGCAUGGGAGAAAUGCAAUAACUUGCAUUUUGUAAGCAAUGUUGAUAGUGUGGAGCAGUGACUAAAACAAAGAUGGCUAUUCAAGUAUAUAAUAAAUUAGGCAAUGCAGACAUGGAUGUGAUAAGAUAAAAAUAGGUAGCAUGAAGUUGUGCUUACUAGGGCAGUUUCUCCAGAAGCGUAAUCAAGUAGCUGAUUCUCCUGCCAGUUCAUUCUUCUUUCCCUCCCUCCUUUCCUCCUCUGUACUUUUCUGUCUUCUCUCCAGCUGAAUUUUUGUGUGCUUCCUUUUGUCCCAGCAGCCUCGAAUCCUAAAGACCAAUAUCUUUUGGGGAGAGGUUAUUAUUUAAAAUGAAGGGAUAACUCUGUAAAUAGAGCUUGAUUUAUUAUUCUUUGAAUGCACACCCAAAGGAGCCAUUCUGACUAAUACCUGCUAAGUACCCAGUGCUGAAAGUCUCAUCUGAAGUUUUUGAGUUCACCUGAACUACUUCUGCAGACUCUUCUCUCUCGAAAGGUGCUGACAUGAAGCAUGCUACUGGAGCAGGAGAUUGUGGACACUGAAGUACACUUAGAAGAUGUUUAUUUGAAACCUGUGAUUAUUUUGAAGAUGCAUUUGAAGCAAAUGCUUCUUUUCAGCUAGGGCAGGGAGAUGGAGUGCAGGGGUGUAUAGUAACUGUUGAAUCACGGCGUGAACCACUGAUUGAGCACCUGGGGAAAGGAGCUGGUCAGCCCUGGAAGCACAGGUGAAGGCAAUUCAGCUGUGUGACUGGAAGGGGUGGAGCCUGGCUGCACCUUUCUUAGAUCUCAUUUAAGGGCUGACUGCCACUGGGGAAGGAUUUCCAGUUGGAGAUCCCUCCCUUGUGGAGUCUUUCCUGUGAGCCUAGAUCUUCAGAGAUGGGUGAGCAUUUUUCCUUUGCAACGCCAUUCCAUCCACGCUGGUCCCUUUGCUGUUAUGUUCCUCUAUUGCCUUUCCACCAUGUAUGUCUUUUCAAUUGUGACAAGAAGUGAGGCUUGUGCUGACCUUCAGCUGAGUCCCCACUGCCAUCCGGCAGCUGCUACGUGCUCAGGAUGGAGCAAGGGUCUUCCUUAA